GGAUUAGAUACCCUGGUAGUCCACGCCGUAAACGGUGGGCACUAGAUGUGGGGCUUAUUCCAUGAGUUCCGCGUCGCAGCUAACGCAUUAAGUGCCCCGCCUGGGGAGUACGGCCGCAAGGCUAAAACUCAAAGGAAUUGACGGGGGCCCGCACAAGCGGCGGAGCAUGCGGAUUAAUUCGAUGCAACGCGAAGAACCUUACCAAGGCUUGACAUAUACGGUCUAUCCCUAGAGAUAGGGAGUGAUUUUUUCGCCGUAUACAGGUGGUGCAUGGUUGUCGUCAGCUCGUGCCG
rnacentral:rRNA from 1 species